UUCUCGCACCGCUUGUACACUGACGGACCCUUUAGCCGCGCGCAGCGCGCACACGUCCUGUAUUUGAAUUAAACGGCUCAAGCAUGCCCUGAAUGCCUGUUACCACCUGACGCUUCGACCGGCACCUGCGGCUAAGUGAAGAAACCCAAAACAGAAAGAUUGAUCGAGAGCAGGACAGAAGAGUCCUCCCUGAGGAGUGGCCCCAGUGGAUCCCCAGAUUCCCACAGAAGAUUCAGACAGCGAGAGAGAGGAGCCUCCAACAACGAGUGGCGGCCCAAGGUACCUCCAGGUAUACUCACUCUUUCACACAUACUGGACACUUUAAUUCCACUUCAGUUUUGCCCAAUCUGAUACAGUGGCCUGAUAAUUCAUAAACAGGUAUGAGUCAUACCAGUCACCGUCCUCAACUGGAGUAGAGUUGGAUGAAUGGCCUCAAAUCUAUAACGUUUUAAGAAGAUUAUAGUGUUCAAAUAAUCCAUUAGAUGUAACAUGGGAUAGUACCCUCCAAUGUAUGAGUUUAUCUUGAUUGUUAUUAAUCUCUGCUGUAAUUUAAUAAUUGAAUAUGCCUUUUUUUCCAUUUUCAAACGGACAUUUCCAAAUCAAGAACCGAUAGAUCUUUAAGGACAGUCAUUGAAGUGUUCAGUUUUAAUGAUAUGUCACUGUUUGGAUUCUCUGUCUGAUAUGUGUAAAUGUGGCUCAAACUUGAAACUAAUCUUGCAGAGUCCGCCUAAUACCCAUUGUGAAUAUGAUGUUUGUUAUUAUGUGUUUGAUAGAUGUUUAUGGAUCGAAUUGAAGAAAAAUUGACACUGCUUAUUUAAACAGGCUGUUAAUGCUUGUCAUAUUUACAUUUGUUGGAAUUCAGCUAAUUGUAUUCAGGAUGUUAUUUUAUUUAUUUUCAUAUUUCUAUGCAUUAGCUCAGUAUUUUAUACUUUUUGUUAUUUAAAGAUAAAUCCGUAUUGUGAUCAGACUUGAUUAAAAAAACAUUGCACUUCUAAUUUUGUAUCCUUGUUUUGUAUUCCUGAUGAUACACUGAGAGAAUUGACUUGGCUUGUCGCCAUAAACUGAGGACAUCUCUACUAUAAAAUAGAAUACCUUGCUGUCAAUGCAUAUCUGUACAACCAUUGUUCUACUCAGUCGUACAAUUCAAAUAAAAACACAAAUAGCAAUCGGUAAAUCAACACAGUUUAAAAACAAGUAUGAAUACAGAAUAAGUGUAUAUUAUUUUUUAAGUUUUAGCUUCUUUGUUACUUUGCCUUUAGGUAUAAGAACAAUUUAAAUAUAUUGAAUACUUUUCUAUUGCACCUUCAUCUGAAUUCCGAAUAAUGUUGAGAUGUUUGCUGUAUGUGUCUUAAAUAGCUCUGCAUCUCCUGGUGAGACACAUGCUUGCCACCCAAAAAUUAUCACUGGCCCCAUCCUGGCCACCCCAAUGGAAAUUUCCUGGCUCCG